AUUGAACGCUGGCGGCAUGCCUUACACAUGCAAGUCGAACGGCAGCACGGGUGCUUGCACCUGGUGGCGAGUGGCGAACGGGUGAGUAAUACAUCGGAACAUGUCCUGUAGUGGGGGAUAGCCCGGCGAAAGCCGGAUUAAUACCGCAUACGAUCUACGGAUGAAAGCGGGGGACCUUCAGGCCUCGCGCUAUAGGGUUGGCCGAUGGCUGAUUAGCUAGUUGGUGGGGUAAAGGCCUACCAAGGCGACGACCAGUCGCUGGUCGGAGAGGAGGACAAGCCCCACUGGGACUGAGACACGGCCCAGACUCCUACGGGAGGCAGCAGUGGGGAAUUUUGGACAAUGGGCGAAAGCCUGAUCCAGCACUGCCGCGUCUGUGAAGAAGGCCUUCGGGUUGUAAAGCACUUUUGUCCGGAAAGAAAUCCUUGGCCCUAAUACGGUCGGGGGAUGACGGUACCGGAAGAAUAAGCACCGGCUAACUACGUG
rnacentral:rRNA from 1 species